rnacentral:lncRNA from 1 species
UUAAAAUUUUCAAUUAAAAUCUUUCAGAAAGAUAUCGUUGGCGACAAAAAAUUGUGGAUUAAUGUUCCUAUUUGCCGACAAUCUAUUCUUCAGCAAUGGUUCCCCUCUCGCUAACAUAGAUACCAUCAAGGAACUUCCGGAUAUCUUUCUUCUUAACAUGACAUUUCUACCUGGUUAAUAAGGGCACAAGAUCUGGAGACAAGCUCAAUGUCAUUUCCGUCCAAAAUCAACUCAUCCUUCACCUUUUCAGAUCGAAGGAUAGUGACUCCGUUAAGCAUUUCAACUUUUCUC